ACUCAAAUGAAUUGACGGGGGUCCGCACAAGCGGUGGAACAUGUGGUUUAAUUCGUCACUACGCGAGGAACCUUACCUAGGCUUGACAUGUUUUCGAUAGGUGCAGAAACGCACUCUUCUAGGCUUCGGUCUAGACGGAUUCACAGGUGCUGCAUGGCUGUCGUCAGCUCGUGUCGUGAGAUGUUGGGUUAAGUCCUCUAACGAGCGCAACCCCUGCUAUCAGUUGCCACUACUUAGCUGUAAGCACUCUGAUAGGACUGCCUGGGAAACCAGGAGGAAGGUGGGGAUGACGUCAAGUCAUCAUGGUCCUUAUGCCUAGGGCUACACACGUGUUACAAUGGUCGGUACAAAGGGCUGCAAGCCUGCGAAGGUGAGCUAAUCCCAUAAAGCCGAUCUAAGUUCGGAUUGAGGUCUGCAACUCGACCUCAUGAAGUUGAAAUCGCUAGUAAUCGCAUAUCAGCUACGAUGCGGUGAAUACGUUCUCGGACCUUGUACACACCGCCCGU
rnacentral:rRNA from 1 species